CCUACGGGAGGCAGCAGUGGGGAAUUUUGCGCAAUGCUCGUAAGAGUGACGCAGCGACGCCGCGUGAAUGACGAAGGCCUUCGGGUCGUAAAGUUCUUUCGACAGGGAAGAAAAUGCCUAUAAGUAACUGUGUCUGUAUUGACGGUACCUGUAUAAGCAGCCCCGGCUAACUCCGUGCCAGCAGCUGCGGUAAUACGGAGGGGGCGAGCGUUGUUCGGAGGGACUGGGCGUAAAGAGCACGUAGGCGGUGUUGUAAGUCAUUAGUCAAAGACUAGAGCUCAACUUUAGUAAGGCUAGUGAUACUAUAAUGCUAGAGAAUAAGAGAGGAUGGCAGAAUUGCUGGUGUAGCGGUGAAAUGCGUAGAUAUCAGGAGGAAUACCGAUAGCGAAGGCGGCAAACUGGCUGGAAACUGACGCUGAGGUGCGAAAGCGUGGGGAGCAAACAGGAUUAGAUACCCGGGUAGUC
rnacentral:rRNA from 1 species